rnacentral:hammerhead_ribozyme from 1 species
AUUCAUCUGAUAAGUCCCGAAUAGGACGAGACGCGCGUUCUGGAU